GGCACUUUCCAUACAAUGUGAGGGCAUGGUGAGAAGGUGGGGACUGUAGGGAGUGAGGCCUACCCUGCCCGGGGCCUAAUCUCCCCCCCUCCCCGUUUCCAACUUCCAGGACCUCGAAUGACUGUGGCUCAAGCCCCCCUAGCCUACUGGGCUUUGUUAUGGUGGCCUGAGCUGAGCCGGAGGGGGUGUGAGGGGCGGAUGGACAGAGCCUCCCAAACAGAUGGAAGGGAUGGGAUGACCAAGGAGGCUUCUGAUCGUUUGGCUUUGAAUCCCAGCCUUCUUCCUGUCCAGCUGUGGGCACUUGGGUGCGCCAUUUCCCUGCUCCACUCCCGUGCCUCAGUUUCCCUCUCUGCUAACAGAUAUCCUAGCAUUAUCCAGGAUUGUUCCGAGCACCGAACGAAUUCCUUCUGGCCCACACUUGGAAGAGGGCUCCGUGAGCGCUGCAACUUCCUCUAAAUGGGGUGCUUUCUAACUUUAGGCACUGAUUGAAGGCCCAAGGGAUGCUGAUAUGGUGCUGGGGGUGGGCACCCCACUUUGGGUGGAGAGGUCAGGGGAGAUGACACUUGAGCUGAGACCUGAGGAACGUAAAGCAACCAGGCUGGGGAAGCAUGAGCAAGAGUGCUUCUAGCACAACACGUGCAAAGGUCCUGAGGUGGGACUGCGCCUGGAAUGUUUGAGGAGCCCCCAGGAGGCCCAGGUGGCUGGAGCAGAGUUAGUGAGGGGCAGAGGUGGGGGAGAUGCGAUCAGAGAGAGAUGAACAAGACGUGAUUCUUGUCCCUAAGGAGAGGCUUCCGGGUGGAUGUGAGUCAUCCUCUGAAGCUGGAGGUGUUGCAGUUAGCACAAUGGAACAUGCUACGUGUCUUCCUUUCCCGACAUCAUUGUUACGGCGCCCUAACGUGGGCUCCGCACCCCGCAGUGUUCCCAGCGCACAGCAGGUGCUCAGUAAAGCUGUGUUGGUUGCACGACUGCAGGGCUCCCGUCACUACCGAAGGGAGCAGUGAGAUGUCGUGCUCGGCGCAGAGGUCUCACAAGACCGCAGACCUUCCGAGACCAUCACCGACGUUGCCUCAUUGGCUGGAGGGCUGGUACUUCUCCAGUGCUUAGCCAGUCCCCGGAGACCUCCCUCAACUCGGACCCCAGGGGCGAGCGGGGGCGGGGGUGGGGGGUGCGCCGUGACCCCCAGAACCUUGGGGGGCCUCGGAAGAGUGCCAGAUUCACAACCCUAGUGUAGCCGUCUCUGGGGCGCCACAAACAAAUACACCGUCCUGGGCAGCUUCAAAGGACAGGGGCCUAUUCUCUCCGCAUUCUGGAGAGCAGAGGUCCAAGGUCAAGGUGGCCGCUGGACUGUGGAAGUUCCCAGGGAGAAUCUGUCCUGGGCCCCUCUGGUGGUGCUGGUUCUCCUUGGCUCACAGACGCCUGGCUCCCCACCUGCCUCUGUCUGGACCUGCACUUCGCCCUGAGUGCCUCUGUGUCUUCACAAGGACCCCAGGCGCUGGCCUCGGGGCCCACCCGAAUCCCAGUGACCUCCUCUUAAUUUAACCAAUUGUAUCUGCAAAGACCCUAUUCCCAAAUGAGGUCCCACUCAUGGGUUCCAAGUGGGCAGGAGUUUGCGGUGGGGAGACACCAUUUGCUCCAACACCCAGCAAAGAUUCGGGGCUCGCAGGCUGGAGGAGAGCCAGAUGCACAGACAGGCCCGGGUGGGGUGGGGGUCCCCUCCGCUCCCCCUGCUCCCCGGCCCGCAGCGGCUAACUCCUCAACUCCAGCUCCGGGACAGAUCUCAAAUCCCUUCCCUCCGGCCUCCGGGGGCACCACUGGCGAGCCUGCUUCUAACAUUUGUGGGACCCAGAGCAAGAAUUCGGGGGGGGACACCCAAAACCCACCUCUCAGGGUUCAAACGCCUGUGCACCAAAUAAGAAAAUGCCACCCAGGCGUGUUCUGUCCUCCCAUCGGGAUAGACACUCCUGGGGAUGAGAGACGCGUGUCGGGACCAUCAGCUGCACGGUCAAGGGGACAGUUACAAUAGAAAACACAGGUGAUAACCAGUGCUGGGGAGGAUGUGGAGACAUUGGGACCCUCACACGCGCAUGCGCUGGUAGGAACGUGAAGUAGCGCAGCCACCGUGGAAAAGUCUGGUAGGGGCGCCUGAGUGGCUCAGUGGGUUAAGCCUCUGCCUUCGGCUCAGGUCAUGAUCUCAGGGUCCUGGGAUCGAGCCCCACAUCGGGCUCUCUGCUCAGCGGGGAGUCUGCUUCC